rnacentral:rRNA from 1 species
UACGUAGGGUGCAAGCGUUGUCCGGAAUUAUUGGGCGUAAAGAGCUCGUAGGCGGUUUGUCGCGUCUGCUGUGAAAACCCGGAGCUCAACUCCGGGCCUGCAGUCGAUACGGGCGGACUUGAGUGUUGCAGGGGAGACUGGAAUUCCUGGUGUAGCGGUGAAAUGCGCAGAUAUCAGGAGGAACACCGGUGGCGAAGGCGGGUCUCUGGGCAACUACUGACGCUGAGGAGCGAAAGCGUGGGGAGCGAACAGG